CGGGAGCCUAUACAGGUGUUGCAUGGCUGUCGUCAGCUCGUGUCGUGAGAUGUUCGGUUAAGUCCGCUAACGAGCGCAACCCUCGUCGUAUGUUAUAUGUGUCAUACGAGACUGCCGGUAAAAGCCGGAGGAAGGUGAGGAUGAUGUCAAGUCAGCAUGACCUUUAUAUCCAGGGCUACACACACGCUACAAUGGUCUGUACAAUGGGUAGCCAAGCCGCGAGGCGGAGCCAAUCCUGAAAGCAGGCCUCAGUUCAGAUUGCAGUCUGCAACUCGACUGCAUGAAGCCGGAGUUGCUAGUAACCGCAGGUCAGCAAUACUGCGGUGAAUACGUUCCCGGGUCUU
rnacentral:rRNA from 1 species